AGAGUUUGAUCCUGGCUCAGAACGAACGUUGGCGGCGUGGAUUAGGCAUGCAAGUCGAACGAAUCCCUGGGGGCUUGCUCUCAGGGGGAAGUGGCGAAAGGGGCAGUAAGGCGUGGGUAACCUACCCUGGGGACCGGCCUAGCCCUCCUAACGGAGGGGUAAUUCCGGGUACGGUGAUCGGCGGGCAUCCCCCGAUCAUGAGAGGAGUUUCGCCCCGGGACGGGCUCACGUGGUAUUAGCUCGUUGGCGGGGUAACGGCCCACCAAGGCCCAGAUGCCUAGCGGGUGUGAGAGCACGACCCGCGCCACUGGCACUGAGACACUGGCCAGACUCCUACGGGAGGCUGCAGUCGAGGAUCUUCGGCAAUGGGCGCAAGCCUGACCGAGCGACGCCGCGUGCGCGAUGAAGGCCUUCGGGUUGUAAAGCGCUGUCGAGGGGGAGGAAGGCCCGCAAGGGCUUGACCUAUCCCGGGAGGAAGCACGGGCUAAGUUCGUGCCAGCAGCCGCGGUAAGACGAACCGUGCGAACGUUGUUCGGAAUCACUGGGCUUAAAGGGCGCGUAGGCGGCCAGGCACGUCCGGGGUGAAAUCUUUCGGCCCAACCGGAAAAGGGCCUCGGAUACGGCCUGGCUCGAGGGGGGUAGGGGCGGACGGAACUUCCGGUGGAGCGGUGAAAUGCGUUGAUAUCGGAAGGAACGCCGGUGGCGAAAGCGGUCCGCUGGACCCCCCCUGACGCUGAGGCGCGAAAGCCAGGGGAGCGAACGGGAUUAGAUACCCCCGUAGUCC
rnacentral:rRNA from 1 species